rnacentral:rRNA from 1 species
UACGGAGGGUGCAAGCGUUAUCCGGAUUCACUGGGUUUAAAGGGUGCGUAGGUGGGCAGGUAAGUCAGUGGUGAAAUCUCCGGGCUUAACCCGGAAACUGCCGUUGAUACUAUCUGUCUUGAAUAUCGCGUAGGUAAGCGGAAUAUGUCAUGUAGCGGUGAAAUGCUUGGAUAUGACAUAGAACACCAAUUGCGAAGGCAGCUUACUUCACGAUCAUUGACACUGAGGCACGAAAGCGUGGGGAGCAAACAGG